rnacentral:rRNA from 1 species
AGAUUGAACGCUGGCGGCAGGCCUAACACAUGCAAGUCGAGCGGCAGCACGGGUACUUGUACCUGGUGGCGAGCGGCGGACGGGUGAGUAAUGCCUAGGAAUCUGCCUGGUAGUGGGGGAUAACGCUCGGAAACGGACGCUAAUACCGCAUACGUCCUACGGGAGAAAGCAGGGGACCUUCGGGCCUUGCGCUAUCAGAUGAGCCUAGGUCGGAUUAGCUAGUUGGCGGGGUAAUGGCCCACAAGGCUCCGAUCGGUA